CGAAUGAAGAGAUUCAUCGUCAGCGUAUUCAGUAUUAAUGCAGGCUAUGAUGUGAUGAUAGAAUCCUUGUGGUCACUAGAUUAUACUUGCUUGUAUUAUUUUUGCUGGGUAGGUCGGCGUGCACUUCUCUUCUAGUAGAACGUCGCAACCCGUUGGAUGUUUAUUUAUGGCCUAAAUGGUAGCCUCUGAUAUUUUAAAAUAUCGAAGACCUUUGGUGUCCUGAUAAGCUGUCUGACGGUAAACAUAUAGUAUUGAGCCGCAAUUAUUUGCGUUAGACUUACCGCAAGUAAGAUUUUAGUCUAGUAGUGCAGAUCUAAUGCUGUCGCUGGGCAAAGUCUACCUGUUAGCUGUGUAAUGUCUUUAACUGGSUUAUUUUCUGGGUUGCGAGC
rnacentral:rRNA from 1 species